rnacentral:rRNA from 1 species
AGUGAACGCUGGCGGUAGGCCUAACACAUGCAAGUCGAACGGCAGCACAGUAAGAGCUUGCUCUUACGGGUGGCGAGUGGCGGACGGGUGAGGAAUACAUCGGAAUCUACUUUUUCUUGGGGGAUAACGUAGGGAAACUUACGCUAAUACCGCAUACGACCUACGGGUGAAAUCAGGGGAUCUUCGGACCUUGCGCGAUUGAAUGAGCCGAUGUCGGAUUAGCUAGUUGGCGGGGUAAAGGCCCACCAAGGCGACGAUCCGUAGCUGGUCUGAGAGGAUGAUCAGCCACACUGGAACUGAGACACGGUCCAGACUCCUACGGGAGGCAGCAGUGGGGAAUAUUGGACAAUGGGCGCAAGCCUGAUCCAGCCAUACCGCGUGGGUGAAGAAGGCCUUCGGGUUGUAAAGCCCUUUUGUUGGGAAAGAAAAGCAGCAGGUUAAUCCCCCGCUGUUCUGACGGUACCCAAAGAAUAAGCACCGGCUAACUUCGUG